UACGUAGGGGGCAAGCGUUGUCCGGAAUCAUUGGGCGUAAAGCGCGCGUAGGUGGCCCAGUAAGUCCGUUGUGAAAGUCAAAGGCUCAACCUUUGAAAGCCGAUGGAUACUGCUGGGCUCGAGUCCGGAAGAGGCGAGUGGAAUUCCUGGUGUAGCGGUGGAAUGCGCAGAUAUCAGGAGGAACACCAAUAGCGAAGGCAGCUCGCUGGGACGGUACUGACACUAAGGCGCGAAAGCGUGGGGAGCGAACAGG
rnacentral:rRNA from 1 species